rnacentral:rRNA from 1 species
GACGAACGCUGGCGGCGUGCUUAACACAUGCAAGUCGAACGAAGUGCGAUGGAAGCUUGCUUCUAUCAAUCUUAGUGGCGAACGGGUGAGUAACGCGUAAUCAACCUGCCCUUCAGAGGGGGACAACAGUUGGAAACGACUGCUAAUACCGCAUACGAUCUAACCUCGGCAUCGAGGAUAGAUGAAAGGUGGCCUCUACAUGUAAGCUAUCACUGAAGGAGGGGACUGCGUCUGAUUAGCUAGUUGGAGGGGUAACGGCCCACCAAGGCGAUGAUCAGUAGCCGGUCUGAGAGGAUGAACGGCCACAUUGGGACUGAGACACGGCCCAGACUCCUACGGGAGGCAGCAGUGGGGAAUCUUCCGCAAUGGACGAAAGUCUGACGGAGCAACGCCGCGUGAGUGAUGACGGCCUUCGGGUUGUAAAGCUCUGUUAAUCGGGACGAAAGGCCUUCUUGCGAAUAGUUAGAAGGAUUGACGGUACCGGAAUAGAAAGCCACGGCUAACUACGUG